AAUCUAUAUAUAUAUAUGAGCGUGUCAAAUUUUACACACUAAAAUAAUGAAAAAGAAUAGUCAUCAACGGAGAAGGAGAAGAAGAUGGGAGAAGGUGAAGGUGAAGUAGAAAAGGAAGUCGAUGCCAAGAUAUAAUGAUGAGAAGCAAUUAGAACUUGGAAAGGCUGGUAAUAGAUGUUUCUUUUCCUUAUUCCUUACUAUCGUCGUCGUUGUUGUUGUUGUUGUUGUUGUUGUUGUUGGUGUUGUCGUUGUUGUUGUUAUCAUUAUUAUUAUUAUUAUUAUUAUUACAUUAUUAUAAUUUUUUAUUAUUGUUUAAGCUAUAAGAACACUUUGAACAAUACCUUCUGUUUUCUCGUCUUCUUUUUCAAUUUGGGAAAGAAUCUUAUUCGAGAGAAAUAUUGACACCUUACCAUCUGCAUAGUUUGUGUAUUCGGUAAAAAGGUUGUAAAAUUUUUCACGCAACGAUACUUUCGCGUACUUUAUUUAGCGUACAUUGUAAACAUAAUUAUAUAUCCUACGAAUAUAUAGAAAGAUAGAAAAACAAUAACGAGUAAAAAAGAGAGAAAAAAGCGAUGGAACGAUCGCAUAAGGGAACGAAAUUAUAUACAAAUGUAUGAUAAAUCUGUUUAUGGACAAAAAAAAAAAAAGAAUUGGACAUCCAAAUAUACGACGCUAUAAUUUAUCAUUAUUUUAUGUAUUCUGUGUCUUGUUCCUCCCCAUUCUCUUGAUCGAAAAUUGACCCAGCUAUUGUAUGAUAUACGAAUGUUUUGAAAUUUCUCAAAGUGCCAAAUAAUUUAUAGGAUUUCAUUAACGCACGUGUUUGCUGAUUUUUUUAUUUUUUAUUUUUAUUUUUAUUUUAUUUUUUUAUUUUUUUUUUUCUUUUAUUCCCUCCCUUGUUCCUAUUCUUCCGUUCGGAGUAAACGUUUUCGAGUGAACUGGUUAUCCGAGAUAUCGCACGAGUGGUGUAGGAAACCCUAGGAGGAGGUAUACGCUGUGUGAAAUUAAAAAAAAAAAAAAAAAAUAACCCCAGAGACACACAAACAUACACACAUACAUUGUCCCUAAUCACCCACACAGACACGCACGCACAACGAACACUAAAUGCGGUGUAACUCCCUAACGUUUUCAAUUUUUUGCAUACGCAAUAUACGAUAAUAAAAGAUUAAGAGAGGCAAAAAAAAAAAAAAAAAUAAAUAAAUAAAAAUAAAUAAAUAAUUGAAAAAAUAUUGAAAAAGUAUCAAUUUUUAAUCACUUUAUUUUCUUAUUAAUUUCGUUAUCGUUUUCGCGUGCGUUCCCACACCCGAAAGAGCGCCACCACAGUUCCUAUAACAGAGCGAAGGCCGCGCUUGAAGUGUCGUGUGACGAAGAACGAAACUACCAACCGAGUAAAAAAUCGACGAUAAAAAUGUACUGUUGAAAACGCGAAAAGAAAAAAAUAAAUUACCUCUACCUGGUAAAAGAACAACCGAGCAAUGCAAAAGAAGAAAGAUAAUUCAAUGGUUCGAUUGGCUUAAGACCAAAAUUAGAUCUUACGGAUGGAUGAGAAUGAGAAAGGCAGGCAAAAAAAGAAAGAAGAAAAAAAAAAAAGAAAAAUGAAAGGAGAAGAAAAAAAGAAAGAAAAUUAAAAAAAAACCCCUAUUCAAAGUGAUGAUCAAACAAGUCUGAAUCACGUCAUCAAUUCACAUAUUAUACACGUAUUCAUACAUGUUUCAUUUCCAUCACAUUUUAUAGGUAUGCGUACAUUAUCUCUAGGUAUAUACAUAUAUAUAUAUAUAUUAUAUUUGUAUAUCGAACUUGUACUAGAUUUUUCCAAUUGGAAUAGUAUAAUAUAAUCUUUAUAACGCGUUAAGAAACACGGUCGAUUAUGGGCCGUUUGGAUUUUCAUCGGUUAUAUAUACAGACGAAAUUCAUUCAGUAUAAUAACUGACGACGAGUUGAAGUAACUGAAGGGGAAAAGAAAAUGUUACUCGGCACAAUCGUACGUUACGAAAUACCGCCACGUGUGUAUAGUAAUAUUCAUAGACAUAUGUGUAUAGUAAUUCUUAGGUACGUUUUUCUUUUCUUUAUACAUAUAUAUAUAUAUAUAUAUAUAUAUAUAUAUAUAUAUAUAUAUAUAUAUGUACAAAUAUAUGUGUAUAUCUAUUCAAAUUCCUAGCAGUACAAGUAAUUGGUCGUAAUUCGUAGCGUACGUUUGAAAUAACGUGCAAAUGAUUAACUUGACAAUCUGUAUUUUAUACAGAAUAAAAGAAAGAAAGUAAACGAAACGAAGCAACGGAAUGGAAUGGAAUGGAAUAUGCUUUAUUCGAUACUAGCUGGAGUACGUGAUAAAAGUAUUAAUAAGAAUGAGGAAAGAAAAGAAAAAAAAAAAAAAAAACAAAAACAAAAAAAAAAAAACGAAACAAAUAAUGGAAAAUAAGCGCGUUUUAGUAAAACUAUGCGAAACAUGUCCGAUUGCAUAUAACGAUUAAUUUUGAUGUUACAUCGUGUCGUGAAACAAUUAGCGCUUAAUUGUAUCUUCAUUUUUAUUUUUCUUUUUUUCUUUUUCCCGCUGUUGUUUGUUUCGUAUAUAGUUUUUCAUGUACUUUUACAUCACACAACUGUAACAAAUGUGUGAAGAUAUAUUCGUCGGUAACCGAAUAACGCAUGCAUAGAUCUGAGAUUGCAUGUGGGUAAUAGAUAUGAUUAUGUAAUACACGUUGAAAGAAUUUAAUUGAGCUUGAAUUAAUAGGCUUUUGUUAAGUAAGGACUGUGCGAUAUUGAUGUGCUUUUUUAUAUGUAUGAUAUACGUACACGUAAGACAGAAAUCGUGAUUAUUUAUAAUGCGAAAAACUCGAUGAUACGGGAGCGAGAUUUUUAAAUCAAUUGUCUGAAACAAGGCGAUUGAACCGAUGAGUGAUCGAUCGGAAUUUUUCAUUCAAUCGAGUGACGAAGGAAAUCCAUCGACGAACUUUGUAUGAAAUGAAAUGAAAGGAAAUGUAACGUAUUUUACUCAUGGGGCUAAGAAACUAAAAAUUGAAAAAUAAAGAAAACCUACGAUUUAAGUAAUACGUAGGUUCAGGGAUCGGGUAGAGAGUUUAGUAUUGGUGCAAUAUACAGGCAUGAGUACACUAUCCGUAAAUAUAUAAAAUACACCGUAAGAUCGGAAUUCGAUACAUUUUCUUCCCCCCUUGUUGAAUAAACAAAACGGAGAUUAUACGUAAAUUUGUAACGUGGAAAAAAAAACAUGGACAUUGGAUUUUGUAUUCUUUCCAUGAGAAUAAAGUUUGUUGUAGAAUUUUAGGUUUGUAUUUGAAAAGAAAUUUAGAUAUACGAUGUAUUUGCUACGCAUGUAUAUGUAUAUAAAUCAUGCAUAUAUAUAUAUAUAUUAGGGUUUAACGCGUACGACGAAAGGUAACCUUUUUUUAUCCCGGUGAUUGUUGUAUACACUAUUUUCUACUUUUUUCUAUCGAAACGAUAGAUUUUAUAUGAUAAUCGAUUCGGUGAGGAGGCAAGGUAGAGUAAGAAUGAGAGAAAAAAAGAGAGAGAUGAAUGAAAAUACGAUUUUGUAUCGACGUUUUUAAAAGAGAAAAUGAGAGAGAAAAAAGAUAUUUAUUGGUAGGCAUACCUACGACCGAUGAUUAACAAGCUCACGAAAAUUCAUACGACAUGCCGAGAACUGAUGUAGCAACGGUAGAAGCUAUAAAAAAAGAAAAAAAGAAAAAAGAAACCGAAAACAAAUUAAAAAAAAAAGAGAGAGAGAGAGAGAGAGAAAAUCUACCUAUCAACAACAU